ensembl:lncRNA
AUAAGCUUUGCUGUCCGAUCCAUGCAGUUAUAGAAAAUUAAUCAACAUUUUUGUCCAAUAGGAUCAACUAAAUAAAUAAUACUGUUGGUCAUGUACAAUAAAUACACAAUGAGAUUGGUUUCAAUGAGUGCAUUGCAAGCAGUGCAGUAAUAUUUGAGGUCUAGUGUGAUUACUCCUCGGAAAAACACUCCUUAAUUGCUGACAUUGAACAUGAAGUUGAACUAUAAACUAAAUACAUUUUAUGUGCAAAAUCAUUAAAACAUUUCCUCGAGAUUACCUCAACUAACUUAUAACUCAGUUUAAUCUUAUAUUAAGUACUAUUUUUACACAAUGAGGAAAGCGUUUUGUGUGUUCUGAUAUCCCAGAUCAGUCAGGCCACAGUCACUGCGCCGAUUUGAACAUAUCGGAUCUUAGUUCCAAAUCAAAGCACUUCUAUUUCCUGUCAGAAUUGGUGUUCAAAGCAGAUAUGAACAAAGCUUGUUCUGUCAUUUCGUGAGCUGCUGCUCUGUGUGUCAAAGCAGGAGGAUGAAAAGAAGCCAAAGCAGAUUAAUACUGUAUAAUCUAACCAGUAGUCAUUUUGCAUUACCUCAGCCUCUUUUCUUUUUCUUUUUUUUUAUCAUUAUCAUUUGUCUUCUUGUUUUAAAAGACAGACAACACAGAGUUCAUUCUGACAAUCUGACACAAAGAGUUUGUUUAAGAGAAAUGGAUCUAGGGUGGUAAUUGUUAGUGUGUGUGUGUGUACUGUGUCUCAUCACUACAGCCAACCAUACUGCUAGAUUUUUAGUGCUUUAAACUGGUAAUUAAAGUAAAAAGACACAGUUUUGCAUGUGUUUUUCUUUUGAAAUGUAUAGACUCAUGCUACGGCUAGUGAUACGGCUAAUUAAAUGUAUGUUACAUUUUACCACUCUUCCACAUGUUCUUUAGUGGAAUGGAAGCUUGGUUAUUUUUCUUGACAUGAUUUGGUCUUAGCCAGUGUGCCAGAGCACACUGCUGCCAUGCUGCAGUCAGGCUGUGUGCUUGAAUCCAGAGUCAAUGGAGGCAUAGGUUUUGAUCACUGACACACCCCUAUAUAUAGCUUGAAAAGUGCCUUGAGACUCUAUGCACAGGAGGAGGUUCAGACCCAGACCAAUGCAGAGUGUGAGGAGCUUGCACAUCAGGACGAGUGGAUUCAGCUGAGCUGAUGGUGUGACACUCAAAGAAUUCUGACACUGAGGAUUUUGCCUGCAGAUAUGGCUUUGGGAGUCCACAGUCCAUCCAUUUUACAGACCGUUUAUCCUACAAAGGGUCGCAUGGGAUCCUAUAGCCUAUCCCAGGGCGCUCGGGGCACAAGAACCCCCAACCCCAGAGGUGCGAGCAAACAUGCUAACCACUAAGCUGUCAUACCCCUUGUAAGUGGAACAGUUGGUAUUUAUUUCAAUUGGCAUUUAUUUGGGCUCCACAUUUACAAAUAUUUUACUGUAUACUUCACCUCCCGUGUGCUAGUUUAAAGAGCAUCAGUUCCAGAAAUCCAUAUGGCUUUCAAAGAUGCUUUCUAUUCUUCUUCUUUCUUAAGCCUUGUUUAUAAUACACGACUGCUUCCAGGAAUGUUUUGGUAUGUGGACCUGAUGUUUCCAAAGAUGCUUUCUGUUAUUCUUCUCUCUUAAGCCUUGUUCAUAAUACACAAUUGCUUCCCCGAAUGUUUUUUUAUGUGGCGUUGAUGUUUCCUAUAUAUUUAAGAUAAUUCAGGGGUGGAAUAUUGGGGAAAUGUAGUAAAUACUGCGUGAUUACAUAAUAGGAAUUCAUUCCUUGAGAGUGAGAGUAGUGCACAGUGUGUA